GUUAUAGGAUCAAGCGACUAAGUGCAUGUGGUGGAUGCCUUGGCGAUCACAGGCGAUGAAGGACGCGGCAGUCUGCGAAAAGCCCCGGGGAGCUGACAACGAGCUUUGAUCCGGGGAUCUCCGAAUGAGGGAACUCCAAGCUUUAGCUUGAUCCAUGCGUGAAUACAUAGCGCAUGGAGGCGAACGCGGCGAACUGAAACAUCUCAGUAGCUGCAGGAAAAGAAAUCAACCGAGAUUCCGGAAGUAGCGGCGAGCGAAACCGGAACAGCCUGAAUUCGAUAUUGAGAAGAACACUGGAAGAGUCUGGAAAGGCUCGCCAUAGUGGGUGAUAGCCCCGUACGGGACGUUCAUCUCAAGGUACUGAGGAUUCGAAAAGUAGGUCGGGGCACGUGAAACCCUGGCUGAACAUGGGGGGACCAUCCUCCAAGGCUAAAUACUCGUGAUCGACCGAUAGCGUACUAGUACUGUGAAGGAAAGGUUAAAAGAACCCCGGGAGGGGAGUGAAAUAGAUUCUGAAACCGCAUGCAUACAAACAGUAGGAGCCCUUCGGGGUGACUGCGUACCUUUUGCAUAAUGGGUCAGCGACUUAUGUUAUGUGGCAAGCCUAACCGACUAGGGGAGGCGCAGCGAAAGCGAGUCCGAACAGGGCGAUUCAGUCGCAUGGCAUAGACCCGAAACCAGAUGAGCUAACCAUGGCCAGGCUGAAGGUGUGGUAACACACACUGGAGGGCCGAACCUACUGGUGUUGCAAAACCAGAGGAUGAGCUGUGGUUAGGGGUGAAAGGCUUAACAAAUCUGGAGAUAGCUGGUUCUCCCCGAAAACUAUUGAGGUAGUGCCUUGCGCAUGAGCUUCUGGGGGUAGAGCACUGUUAUAGCUAGGGGGACAUGGCGUCUUACCAAACUAUGGCAAACUCCGAAUACCAGAAAGCUUCGCGCAGGAGACAGAGCACCGGGUGCUAACGUCCGGACUCAAAAGGGAAUCAACCCAGACCGCCAGCUAAGGUCCCUAAUAUCAGCUAAGUGGAAAACGAAGUGGAAAGGCUAAAACAGUCAGGAAGUUGGCUUAGAAGCAGCCAUCCUUCAAAGAAAGCGUAAUAGCUCACUGAUCGAGUCCUUCCGCGCGGAAGAUGUAACGGGGCUAAGUUGAUAACCGAAGCUGCGGAUUCAUACUUUGAGUAUGAGUGGUAGGGGAGCGUUCUGUAAGCCUGUGAAGGUGGAUCGUAAGGUCUGCUGGAGGUAUCAGAAGUGCGAAUGCUGACAUGAGUAACGAUAAAGCGGGUGAAAAGCCCGCUCGCCGCAAACCCAAGGUUUCCUGCUCUACGUUAAUCGGAGCAGGGUGAGUCGGUUCCUAAGGCCAGGCUGAGAAGCGUAGCUGAUGGAAAUCAGGUUAAUAUUCCUGAACCGGCGUUGAAUGCGAUGGGGUGACGGAGCAGCCAGAGUGGACCGGGUGUUGGAUGUCCCGGCUUCCGAGCGAUGGGUGCCUGCAGGCAAAUCCGCAGGCGUAUACCCAGGACGAAGGAUCGGGCCUUCUUUUGAAGGCGAAGCCACUGGAAGCGCUUCCAGGAAAAACCUCUAAGCUUCAGUUCAACGGCGACCGUACCGUAAACCGACACAGGUGGGUGAGCUGAAUAUGCUCAGGCGCUUGAGAGAACUCGGGAGAAGGAACUCGGCAAAUUGACACCGUAACUUCGGAAGAAGGUGUGCCUUUGUAGCUUGACGGGAGAGAAACCCGGAGGGCGAAGAGGUCUCAGAGAAUCGGUGGCUGUAACUGUUUACUAAAAACACAGCGCUCUGCAAAGAUGAAAGUCGACGUAUAGGGCGUGAUGCCUGCCCGGUGCUGGAAGAUUAAUUGAUGGGGUGCAAGCUCCUGAUCGAAGUCCCAGUAAACGGCGGCCGUAACUAUAACGGUCCUAAGGUAGCGAAAUUCCUUGUCGGGCAAGUUCCGACCUGCACGAAUGGCAUAAUAAUGGCCACACUGUCUCCUCCCGAGACUCAGUGAAAUUGAAAUGUUUGUGAUGAUGCAAUCUCCCCGCGGCUAGACGGAAAGACCCCAUGAACCUUAACUGUAGCUUUGCAUUGGACUUUGAACCGAUCUGUGUAGGAUAGGCGGGAGGCUUUGAAGAAUGGACGCCAGUUCAUUCGGAGCCGUCGUUGAAAUACCGCCCUGAUUUGUUUGAGGUUCUAACCUGGGCCAGUAAUCCUGGCUGGGGACCGUGCAUGGUGGGCAGUUUGACUGGGGCGGUCUCCUCCUAAAGGGUAACGGAGGAGUGCGAAGGUACGCUAAUCACGGUCGGAAAUCGUGAGGAUACUGCAAUGGGAAAAGCGUGCCUGACUGCGAGACAGACAAGUCGAGCAGAUGCGAAAGCAGGUCAUAGUGAUCCGGUGGCUUCUGUAUGGAAGGGCCAUCGCUCAACGGAUAAAAGGUACUCUGGGGAUAACAGGCUGAUACCGCCCAAGAGUUCAUAUCGACGGCGGUGUUUGGCACCUCGAUGUCGGCUCAUCUCAUCCUGGGGCUGUAGCCGGUCCCAAGGGUAUGGCUGUUCGCCAUUUAAAGAGGUACGUGAGCUGGGUUUAAAACGUCGUGAGACAGUUUGGUCCCUAUCUACCGCGGGCGCUGGAAGAUUGACAGGGGCUGCUCCUAGUACGAGAGGACCGGAGUGGACGCACCUCUGGUGUAUCGGUUGUGACGCCAGUCGCAUUGCCGAGUAGCUAUGUGCGGAAGAGAUAACCGCUGAAAGCAUCUAAGCGGGAAACUUGCCUGAAGAUUAGUCUUCCCGGAGGCUUGACCUCCCUGAAGGGUCGUCCGAGACCAGGACGUUGAUAGGCCAGGUGUGGAAGCGCUGUGAGGCGUGAAGCUAACUGGUACUAAUUGCCCGUGCGGCUUGAUCCUAUAACC
rnacentral:rRNA from 2 species